rnacentral:misc_RNA from 1 species
AAGUCGUAACAAGGUUUCCGUAGGUGAACCUGCGGAAGGAUCAUUAACACGUAUCCAAACGUUAAAACAACCCUGUGAAUAUUAACGCGUGUUCUUGCUUGACACCAAAACAGCAAUCUCUCGUAAAACAGGCGCUAAAGAAUUACAGAUAUUGAUUUGAGAGAAUUCUGUCAGUCGGUGGACGUUGCAAUUGAGCACUAGAUAAAGCACCCUGGUACCUUCUGAUCUAUCACCAAUGUCUGAAAGUGUCAAGUGAUGGUCAGGGUAACGCAGUCAACGAUGUGGAGGCUAACGCCCUUACGUCACCCCUAUGUACCCUCCGGGACUUGGCGAAAGCUGACUCCGUCAUAAAUCGAACAACUGUUAACAAUGGAUAUCUUGGUUCUC